rnacentral:rRNA from 1 species
CUCCUACGGGAGGCAGCAGUGGGGAAUAUUGGACAAUGGGCGCAAGCCUGAUCCAGCAAUGCCGCGUGUGUGAAGAAGGUCUUCGGAUUGUAAAGCACUUUCGACGGGGACGAUGAUGACGGUACCCGUAGAAGAAGCCCGGCUAACUUCGUGCCAGCAGCCGCGGUAAUUC